CAUUUGAUUUGGCAUAGGCCUAGUUGAACAGUAAGUUUUACUCUAAUGUUGACGAUAGGAACCUGUGGCUCUGAUGUUCCUUGUAAACAAAAUCAAAAUACCACUAGGGCAGAAGAUUAUCCGUAUUCAUGUUACAAAUUAUAAACAUGACUUUCUGAACCAUGCCUUAAGGCUUACAAUGUUGGUAUCCUGAUUGCGCCUGAUUUGAACCGGAUAUACAACUUUAGUCGGGGUCACGUUUAUUGUUGAAGAGGAAAGAUGUCUGUACUGAUUUUAUUCAAUUUCAACGAUGCAAAAGAUAUAUUUACAGCCUCAACCAGGAGUGCGUUGGUCAACAAAACCAGCAAACCUUUGAUAAACGCAUUCAACCAGAUCACUGGAAAUGAGACAGAGAAGAAGACCACCCUUGACCAAGCUCUGAGGCAAGUCCUGGAGGAGGAGAUUGUGGAAAAGAAAGCACUCGUCGAUGACUUUCUGUCUCUCAUCUAUUUCAGCAUUGAUGGAGUUACUGAAGGUAUCUGCUCCGCCACCACUCCUUUCCUACUGUUGGGAGAUGUUCUGGACUGUCUUCCUCUGUACCAGUGUGAUAAGGUCUUCUCCUUUGUUGAAGAGAAUGUCUCCACCUGGAAGUCUAACUCCUUUUACACUGCUGGGAAAAACUACUUGUUAAGGAUGUGUAAUGAUCUUUUGAGGAGGUUGUCCAAGUCUCAGAACACAGUCUUCUGUGGACGGAUCCAGCUGUUCCUGGCUCGUCUCUUUCCCCUGUCUGAGAAAUCAGGUCUGAACCUGCAGAGCCAGUUUAAUCUCGACAACAUCACAGUGUUCAACAAAAAUGAGCUAGAGAGCACUCUUGGCCAGAAGCCCACAGAGGAGGAGGAUGGGAUGGAAGUGGAGGAGGGGGAGAUGGGAGAUGAGGAACCUAGUGCACCUGCUCCAUGUUCCAUCCCUAUCGACUACAACCUAUACAGAAAGUUCUGGACUCUGCAGGACUACUUCAGAAACCCUGUUCAGUGUUAUGAGAAGUUUUCCUGGAUGACUUUCCUCAAGUAUUCAGACGAGACGCUGGCAGUGUUUAGAAGCUUCAAGCUGGACGACAUGCAGGCUUCUAAAAGGAAGCUGGAAGAGCAAAGGACGGCAGGAGGAGACCACGUUUACUUUGCCAAGUUCCUCACCAGUGAGAAGUUGAUGGACCUGCAGCUCAGUGACAGUAACUUCAGACGACACAUCCUCCUGCAGUACCUUAUCCUGUUUCAGUACCUCAAGGGACAGGUCAAGUUCAAAAGCUCCAGUUGUAUCCUGAAUGAUGAUCAGUGUUCAUGGAUGGAGGAGACCACCAAAGUUGUGUACCAGCUGCUCAGAGAGAUCCCACCGGAUGGAGACAAGUUUGCCACCAUGGUCGAGCAUGUCCUAAACACAGAGGAGAACUGGAACUCGUGGAAAAAUGAAGGAUGCCCAAGCUUUGUGAAGGAAAGACCAGUAGAUGACAAACCCAAGAGACCCAUGAGGAAGAGACAAGCUCCAGAAGACUUCCUAGGUAAAGGCCCUGACAGGAAGGUCUUCAUGGGGAAUGAUGAACUCACGAGACUGUGGAAUCUGAACCAUAACAAUAUGGCAGCUUGCCAGUCAGUUAGCAGGGAAUUCAUGCCUACUCUGGAGGAGUUUUUUGAAGAGGCCAUUGAACAGGCUGACCCAGCCAACAUGGUGGAAGACGAGUACAAACCUGUCCAAUGGUGUCAAGAAAGAUCCUGCUGUGUGAAGUGUUCUGGUUCAAUAUUAUCCACUCAGCUCCACGCCCCCUGUCCUGUAGGGUGGUGCGUAACUCAAACUAUGGCUGGCGAGCCCUGCGUCUGUUGUCUAGGAGGAGUCCCCACUUCUUCCAGCCCACCAACCAGCAGUUCAAGAGCCUGGCUGACUACCUGGAGAGCAUGGUCAUCAAACUGGCCAAGGAGCUGCCGAAGGACCUCCCGUCUGAGGAGAUAAAGACAGGAGAGGAAGACUAUGAAGACAACGGUGACACGCUUCUCAAAGAGAGCAACGACAGUCUGAGCAUGCAGACCAAACUGGUGUCUAACCAGCAGAUGGAUGACAUAGCAGCCAAGCUGGGUUCCCAAUGGAAGACCCUGGCUGGCCAGCUGGAGAUAAAAGCAGCGGAGAUCCGGGAGAUUGAGACAGACAGCAAGGACGUGGACAUGCAGGCCAAGCUGCUGCUGGUGGCCUGGCAGGACCGUGAGGGGACACAGGCCACUGUCGAGAGCCUGGUUCCAGCGCUCAAUGCUGCUGGCUUCCCCAAGAUCGCAGAGAUCCUCAACGAGACAUAGAUUAAGGCCUUGCUUAGACAUGACUGUAAUUUCGUCCUCCGUAGAAUCUUUAAAUAAACACUCAACUUUGA